rnacentral:rRNA from 1 species
GAUGAACGCUGGCGGCGUGCCUAAUACAUGCAAGUCGAGCGAACAGACGAGGAGCUUGCUCCUCUGACGUUAGCGGCGGACGGGUGAGUAACACGUGGAUAACCUACCUAUAAGACUGGGAUAACUUCGGGAAACCGGAGCUAAUACCGGAUAAUAUAUUGAACCGCAUGGUUCAAUAGUGAAAGACGGUCUUGCUGUCACUUAUAGAUGGAUCCGCGCCGCAUUAGCUAGUUGGUAAGGUAACGGCUUACCAAGGCAACGAUGCGUAGCCGACCUGAGAGGGUGAUCGGCCACACUGGAACUGAGACACGGUCCAGACUCCUACGGGAGGCAGCAGUAGGGAAUCUUCCGCAAUGGGCGAAAGCUUGACGGAGCAACGCCGCGUGAGUGAUGAAGGUCUUCGGAUCGUAAAACUCCGUUAUUAGGGAAGAACAAAUGUGUAAGUAACUAUGCACGUCUUGACGGUACCUAAUCAGAAAGCCACGGCUAACUACGUG